GUGUCAGCCGCCGCGGUAAUACGGAGGGUGCGAGCGUUGUCCGGAAUCACUGGGCGUAAAGGGCGCGUAGGCGGCCCGGUAAGUAGGAGGUGAAAUCUUGCGGCUCAACCGCAAGACGGCCUUCUAAACUGCCAGGCUUGAGCACAGUAGAGGCAGGUGGAAUUCCCGGUGUAGCGGUGGAAUGCGUAGAGAUCGGGAAGAACAUCGGUGGCGAAGGCGGCCUGCUGGGCUGUUGCUGACGCUGAGGCGCGACAGCGUGGGGAGCAAACAGGAUUAGAUACCCCCGUAGUCC
rnacentral:rRNA from 1 species